ACGUAGGGGGCAAGCGUUAUCCGGAUUUACUGGGUGUAAAGGGAGCGUAGACGGCGCUGCAAGUCUGAAGUGAAAGCCCGGGGCUCAACCCCGGGACUGCUUUGGAAACUGUAAUGCUAGAGUGCUGGAGAGGUAAGUGGAAUUCCUAGUGUAGCGGUGAAAUGCGUAGAUAUUAGGAGGAACACCAGUGGCGAAGGCGGCUUACUGGACAGUAACUGACGUUGAGGCUCGAAAGCGUGGGGAGCAAACAG
rnacentral:rRNA from 1 species